UUGAUGACGAGUGGCGGACGGGUGAGUAAUGCAUAGGAAUCUGCCUAUUAGUGGGGGACAACGUGUGGAAACGCACGCUAAUACCGCAUACGCCCUACGGGGGAAAGGGGGGGAUCUUCGGACCUUUCGCUAUGAGAUGAGCCUGCGUUAGAUUAGCUAGUUGGUAGGGUAAAGGCCUACCAAGGCGACGAUCUAUAGCUGGUCUGAGAGGACGAUCAGCCACACUGGGACUGAGACACGGCCCAGACUCC
rnacentral:rRNA from 1 species